rnacentral:tRNA from 1 species
GGGGGUGUAGCUCAUAUGGUAGAGCGCUGUCUUUGCAUGAGAGAGGCGCGGGGUUCGAUUCCCCGCACUUCCA